rnacentral:rRNA from 1 species
GCAGUCGAGCGAGAAGACGUAGCAAUACGUUUGUAAAGCGGCGAACGGGUGAGGAAUACAUGGGUAACCUACCCUCGAGUGGGGAAUAACUAGCCGAAAGGUUAGCUAAUACCGCAUACGACUCCUGGUCUGCGGAUCGGGAGAGAAAGCGAUACCGUGGGUAUCGCGCUCUUGGAUGGGCUCAUGUCCUAUCAGCUUGUUGGUGAGGUAACGGCUCACCAAGGCUUCGACGGGUAGCUGGUCUGAGAGGACGAUCAGCCACACUGGCACUGCGACACGGGCCAGACUCCUACGGGAGGCAGCAGUAAGGAAUAUUGCGCAAUGGGCGACAGCCUGACGCAGCGACGCCGCGUGGGGGAUGAAGGUCUUCGGAUUGUAAACCCCUUUCGGCAGGGAAGAUGGAACGGGUAACCGUUCGGACGGUACCUGCAGAAGCAGCCACGGCUAACUUCGUGCCAGCAGCCGCGGUAAUACGAAGGUGGCAAGCGUUGUUCGGAUUUACUGGGCGUACAGGGAGCGUAGGCGGUUGGGUAAGCCCUCCGUGAAAUCUCCGGGCCUAACCCGGACAGUGCGGAGGGGACUGCUCGGCUAGAGGAUGGGAGAGGAGCGCGGAAUUCCCGGUGUAGCGGUGAAAUGCGUAGAGAUCGGGAGGAAGGCCGGUGGCGAAGGCGGCGCUCUGGAACAUUUCUGACGCUGAGGCUCGAAAGCGUGGGGAGCAAACAGGAUUAGAUACCCUGGGUAGUCCACGCCUUAAACGAUGGGAUACUAAGUG